rfam:Eutrema salsugineum unplaced genomic scaffold scaffold_1, whole genome shotgun sequence.
AAGCUUAUGAUGACAAAAACAAUUAUCUUAGCGGAUUUCAGUGAGGUUUUAAUGAUCAAUGAUCUGAUUUUGUUACACACACUGAAGCUU